ACAGUGGACGCGAGCAUCUUUGUUGUAAGUGUUUAAGAGCGUACGGUGGAUGCCUUGGCACCAGGAGCCGAUGAAGGACGUAGGAGGCUGCGAUAAGCCUCGGGGAGCUGUCAACCGAGCUGAGAUCCGAGGAUGUCCGAAUGGGGAAACCCAGCCACAGUGAUGUGUGGUUACCCGCGCCUGAAUAUAUAGGGCGUGAGGAGGGAACGUGGGGAAGUGAAACAUCUCAGUACCCACAGGAAGAGAAAACAACAUGUGAUUCCGUGAGUAGUGGCGAGCGAAAGCGGAAGAGGCUAAACCAUGGGUGUGUGAUAGCCGGCGGGCGUUGCAUUCGUGGGGUUGUGGGAUCCGUCUUGUCAAUUCUGCCGGAUUGGCCGACAGUGAGAAAUCAUCGUGUUAGUCGAAGUGGUCUGGAACGGCCUGUCGUAGAGGGUGAGAGUCCCGUAGACGAAAACAUGGUGACUGUCGUGACGGACACCCGAGUAGCAGCGGGCCCGUGAAAUCUGCUGUGAAUCUGUCGGGACCACCCGAUAAGCCUGAAUACUCCCUGGUGACCGAUAGCGGACUAGUACCGUGAGGGAAAGGUGAAAAGUACCCCGGGAGGGGAGUGAAAUAGUACCUGAAACCGUGCGCUUACAAUCCGUCAGAGCCUGCGCCACUUCGGUGGGUGGGUGAUGGCGUGCCUUUUGAAGAAUGAGCCUGCGAGUUAGCGGCAUGUCGCGAGGUUAACCCGUGUGGGGUAGCCGUAGCGAAAGCGAGUCCGAAUAGGGCGUUUGUAGUGGCAUGUUCUAGACCCGAAGCGGAGUGAUCUACCCAUGGCCAGGGUGAAGCGACGGUAAGACGUCGUGGAGGCCCGAACCCACUUAGGUUGAAAACUGAGGGGAUGAGCUGUGGGUAGGGGUGAAAGGCCAAUCAAACUCCGUGAUAGCUGGUUCUCCCCGAAAUGCAUUUAGGUGCAGCGUCGCGUGUUUCACUCUGGAGGUAGAGCUACUGGAUGGCCGAUGGGCCCCACAAGGUUACUGACGUCAGCCAAACUCCGAAUGCCAGAGUGUGAGAGCGCGGCAGUGAGAGACUGCGGGGGAUAAGCUUCGUAGUCGAGAGGGAAACAGCCAGAUCGCCGGCUAAGGCCCCUAAGCGUGUACUAAGUGGAAAAGGAUGUGGGGUCGCGAAGACAACCAGGAGGUUGGCUUAGAAGCAGCCACCCUUGAAAGAGUGCGUAAUAGCACUGGUGUAGUGAUCCUGCGCCGACAAUGUAGCGGGGCUCAAGUACACCGCCGAAGCCGCGGCAUUCACAUAACACCCAUGCGGGUCUACGGGCCUGUGUGCAGUGGUGUGGAUGGGUAGGGGAGCGUCGUGCAGCCAUGGAAGCGCCGGAGUGAUCCAGGUGUGGAGGCUGCACGAGUGAGAAUGCAGGCAUGAGUAGCGAAAGACGAGUGAGAAACUCGUCCGCCGAAUGACCAAGGGUUCCUGGGCCAGGUUAAUCCGCCCAGGGUGAGUCGGGACCUAAGGCGAGGCCGACAGGCGUAGUCGAUGGACAACGGGUUGAUAUUCCCGUACCCGUGUGAACGCCCCUGGUGAAUCAGUGAUGCUAAGCGCCCUGAAGCCGCCUUCGAACCUUCGGGUUCUCCGGUGUGUGGAUGCGCGUGAACCGAUCUGGUAGUAGCCAAGCGAUGGGGUGACGCAGGAAGGUAGCUGAGCCAGUCAGUGGUAAUACUGGUGUAAGCGUGUAGGGCGUGACCUAGGCAAAUCCGGGUCACAUACAGCCUGAGACGUGAUGCGUAGCCGAUUGAGGCGAAUUCAGUGAUCCUAUGCUGCCGAGAAAAGCCUCUAGCGAGCUUUCACACGGCCCGUACCCCAAACCGACACAGGUGGUCAGGUAGAGAAUACUAAGGCGAUCGAGAUAACUGUGGUUAAGGAACUCGGCAAAAUGCCCCCGUAACUUCGGGAGAAGGGGGGCCUCGUCUGGUGACGGAACUUGCUUCCUGAGCUGGGUGGGGCCGCAGAGACCAGAGAGAAGCGACUGUUUACUAAAAACACAGGUCCGUGCGAAGUCGUAAGACGAUGUAUACGGACUGACGCCUGCCCGGUGCUGGAAGGUUAAGAGGACCGGUUAGCCAGUAAUGGCGAAGCUGAGAAUUUAAGCCCCAGUAAACGGCGGUGGUAACUAUAACCAUCCUAAGGUAGCGAAAUUCCUUGUCGGGUAAGUUCCGACCUGCACGAAUGGCGUAACGACUUCUCUGCUGUCUCAACCACAGACUCGGCGAAAUUGCAUUACGAGUAAAGAUGCUCGUUACGCGCGGCAGGACGAAAAGACCCCGGGACCUUCACUAUAGCUUGGUAUUGGUGUUCGGUUCGGUUUGUGUAGGAUAGGUGGGAGACUGUGAAGCGGGCACGCCAGUGUUCGUGGAGUCGUUGUUGAAAUACCACUCUGAUCGUAUUGGACAUCUAACCUCGGACCAUGAUCUGGUUCAGGGACAGUGCCUGGUGGGUAGUUUAACUGGGGCGGUUGCCUCCCAAAAUGUAACGGAGGCGCCCAAAGGUUCCCUCAGCCUGGUUGGCAAUCAGGUGUCGAGUGCAAGUGCACAAGGGAGCUUGACUGUGAGACUGACAGGUCGAGCAGGGACGAAAGUCGGGACUAGUGAUCCGGCACCGGCAAGUGGAAGCGGUGUCGCUCAACGGAUAAAAGGUACCCCGGGGAUAACAGGCUGAUCUUCCCCAAGAGUCCAUAUCGACGGGAUGGUUUGCACCUCGAUGUCGGCUCGUCGCAUCCUGGGGCUGGAGUAGGUCCCAAGGGUUGGGCUGUUCGCCCAUUAAACGCGGGCACGCGAGCUGGGUUUAGAACGUCGUGAGACAGUUCGGU
rnacentral:rRNA from 1 species